ensembl:lncRNA
CGCAUGAUAAUGAAGUCAGAUUGAUGAAUGUAGUUUAUAUUCAACCUCAUUUUCAUUCAAAUACAGUAGAUCCAAAGUGUACUCUAUUUUCAUGUGGUGAAAAGUGUACUGCAGUAUACUUCAUGAGCAUACACUUGAUUUUCAUAUCUCAAUAAGUGUACUUCAGUAUAAUUACAAAAAGUAUACUUUUCAUGUCUUCAAAAAAGGUCUUUAGUAUACUUACAAUAAAUGAACUAGAAUAUCAUGUACUUCAAAGUACUAGAUUUUCAUGUAACGAGUGUUUGCAAAAAGCAAGACCACACUAUAAAUGACAUACUUAUUAUUGUUCUCAAUAAGGAAGUAGUUACCUUAUAUUUCCUGAAAGUUAUACCUGCCAGCCAGUAAACAAAAAAGCUCUUCAAUGAGGAAAUACUUUCCAAUAUUCAGCUACUUGUCUUUUCAAAUAAAAGUAUAUCUGAAUACUUACUUUAAAAUGUGAAAGUAAUUGAGAUAUUUUAAUUAGUAAUUUAACCCAGGUCUGGUUCCACCAAUACAAUCCUUUCAGAAAUACACAAGUGAUUAGAGGAGAGGGGUUAGGGGCUAAGCACUAGAUCUCUGGAACAGAAAAUGGAACAAGUUUAGUUUUUAUGAUGAUGCAACUGUCUGUGUAAACAGACAAUCAAACACUAUCUGAUGUACUCCAUUCAUGGAAAAUCCCAUGGGGUAAAUCCCAGUAGUUUAAAAAAAAAUAUCUUCUUGUCUCCCCCUAAACACAAACUGCAUAAUUAGGAAAUGAUUUAUUGAACAUUUGCCACCAGACAUACAGUAUCAGUUAAAUAUAGACAGCUUCAACCUGGAGCCGUUUCUAUCCCUUCAUCUUUAAACAUCAGGGACAGACUCCUUUUACAAACCCUCCUCUCUCCUCAGUCAUGCUCUCUGUAGCUACACACACAGACAGUGUGAGAAUGUUACUUUUUGAAUCCCAAAUCGAUCCCUCCCUAGUCCGCCCCUACCCCAAAGUCUUUUGGUUUUCUGUCUUCUAAUAGAGAGUAGAAUACGGGUGCAUCUCAAUAAUCAAACAAGGUUUCCUCUCCUCACACCGGUCCUUUCCUCUGCACUCAUCUGUAAAGACUGGACAGGUGAAAGGUCAUACCCAGUAGGGUUAGAACAUCAUAUUGCUUUCUCGUAAGAGAGGGAGACACUUGAGAUGCACAGUAGGUAGUGAAAGCAGUUUCCGUUCUGAAAGCAUGAUUAAGAGGCUAAAUUGCCCCUAAACACUGACACAGGGUCAGAUACAGUGAGCUCAAAAAGUAUUGGAACAGUGAAUUUUUGCUGCCAUUGUCAUUUUGGCUCUGUACUGCAGCACUUUGGAUUUGAAAUUAUAUAACGCCUAUGAGAUUAAAGUGCAGACUGUCAUAGAAUACACUUCUACAUUGAUGUGGAUGCUACCAUGAUUAUGGAUAAUUCUGAAUUGCAUCGUGAAUAAUGAUGAGUGAGAAAGUUACAGAUGCACAAAUAUCAUACCCCUAAAACAUGCUAACCUCUCACCAUUACAAUAACAGGGGACGUUAGCAUAUUUUAGGGAGGGAGGGGGGUGAUAUGUGUCUAACUUUCUCAUAUCAUUAUUCACAAUUUAUUCAGGAUUAUCCAUAAUCAUGGUAGCAUCCAUAUUAAUGUAGGAGAGUUUAGAAACAUUUUAUUCUUAUUUACACUAAAACUCACCACAAAAUGACAAUACAAUAUUUACCAUUGAUUUCUAUUGGGCACAAAAUAAUCUAAAACACAACCAAAACAAACGGCAAAUGCAUUCAACAAAUGUGUAGUCACAAGCUUGAUGUAGUCAUUGUGUGAUAUAUGGGACCAAAUACUUUUUACUACUUUAAUACACAAGUGAAUUUGUAUGAAAUACUUUUGGUCCCCUAAAAUGGGAGGACUACGUACAGAAAAUGCUGUAAUUUCUAAACAAUUCACCCGAUAUGGAUGAAAAUACCCUCAAAAUAAAGCCGACAGUCUGCACUUUAACCCCAUAGUCAUUGUAUAAUUUCAAAUCCAAAAUGCUAGAGUACACAGUCAAAACAACAAAAAAUGAAAUACUUUUGGAGCUAACUGUAUUCUUCAUCCCAGUAACAGGUAAAGUUAGAAUUGGGGAAAGGUAAUCUGAUCCUAGAUAUGUGGUUAGGGGCAACUUCUACCUUGAGACUAAUGUAAAGUAAUCACAUGAAUAUAUAUUAUCAAAAAUGGCAAUUAGUCUGACAAAUGCCUCGUCUCCUCUACUUCUAACAAGACCAGGUGUGUGUUCAACAAGUAGGGUCAGGAAGAUACCUGUAUCAUUAAUAACAUGGCAAGAAACAAAAAGCUCAUUUUACAUCUUUAGAUAAACAGCCCUAAUAUUAGAAACAAAUAUCAUUAUCUUGUCACAUUGAUUUAAUUUCUAAGAUAAAGCACAGAAUAUUUUACAUACAGCAAGAUUUUAUAGGACCAAAGAAAAAUUGAAAAUAUUGUCAUACUGUUAUCGUCACAGCCUGAUCAACAAGACUGUCCCAAAACUUUAAAAUGCUGAUUCACACAAUUAAACAGUAGCUAGGGAUAACUAAAAAAGCUAUCACAUAUGCUGAAGUUCUUCAGCUAGCUUUUGGCCAUUAAAACAUUCACUAACGUUAGCUAACAGUUUAAAAGCUGACGUAUUUCACUGCUAACAUCAGCCUUGUUGAACGCACCACAAGGGUAUAAAUUAAAACUGUCCGGUCAAAAUCAAGCCUCUAUUGUACAUUUAAAUCUGGUAGAAGGUGCUCUCCGAUCAUAUGCCAUUUUUGCUGCUUUGUUGGAAGAUUGGAUGGCCUCUCCAAGGAAAGCCU